rnacentral:rRNA from 1 species
CGCCGCGGUAAUUCCAGCUCCAAUAGCGUAUAUUAAAGUUGUUGCAGUUAAAAAGCUCGUAGUUGAAUUUCGGGAUCAGUUGGUCGGUCGUGCCUCGGUACGUACUGGUCAAAUUGAUUCCUACCUUCUGACGAACCACGAUGUCAUUAAUUUGGUGUCGCGGGAAAUCAGGACUGUUACUUUGAAAAAAUUAGAGUGUUUAAAGCAGGCUCGCGCUUGAAUACAUUAGCAUGGAAUAAUGAAAUAGGACGUUUGAUUCUAUUUUGUUGGUUUCUAGGAUCGACGUAAUGAUUAAUAGGGAUAGUUGGGGGCAUUAGUAUUCAAUUGUCAGAGGUGAAAUUCUUGGAUUUAUUGAAGACUAACUACUGCGAAAGCAUUUGCCAAGGAUGUUUUCAUUAAUCAAGAACGAAAGUUAGGGGAUCGAAGACGAUCAGAUACCGUCGUAGUCUUAACCAUAAACUAUGCCGACUAGGGAUCGGAUGAUGUUAAUUUUUUAAUGACUCAUUCGGCGCCUUACG